rnacentral:rRNA from 1 species
GUGGGGAAUAUUGGACAAUGGGCGAAAGCCUGAUCCAGCCAUGCCGCGUGAGUGAUGAAGGCCUUAGGGUUGUAAAGCUCUUUCAGUGGGGACGAUAAUGACGGUACCCACAGAAGAAGCCCCGGCUAACUUCGUGCCAGCAGCCGCGGUAAUACGAAGGGGGCUAGCGUUGCUCGGAAUUACUGGGCGUAAAGGGCGCGUAGGCGGACAGUUUAGUCAGAGGUGAAAGCCCAGGGCUCAACCUUGGAAUUGCCUUUGAUACUGGCUGUCUUGAGUACGGGAGAGGUGAGUGGAACUCCGAGUGUAGAGGUGAAAUUCGUAGAUAUUCGGAAGAACACCAGUGGCGAAGGCGACUCACUGGCCCGUUACUGACGCUGAGGCGCGAAAGCGUGGGGAGCAAACAGGAUUAGAUACCCGAGUAGUCC